CUUAAAUUUGGUAAAUGUACUAGCACAAGUAUGGUCAACAAAUAGGUUUUUAGGAGGGCGCUUCUAUCGGCUUGGUGUGGAUUUCAUCGAGGAAGAUUUUUCAGGAACAAUGGAUGUUCUGGAUACUAUAUUUCCCAAAUUAUCGCAUUAAUUUGGAGGAUUAUCACAUUUUUUUGCUACUCAAGAUCUAUUAGCUUCAACAGUUUCGUUUUUUCUGGCGUUUGUCCUGGAAUGCUGAACUCUCAUGAUCUGAUUUUCAUAUCAAGUCUGUCAUUUUC